rnacentral:rRNA from 1 species
CCUACGGGAGGCAGCAGUGAGGAAUAUUGGUCAAUGGACGCGAGCCUGAACCAGCCAAGUAGCGUGAAGGAUGACUGCCCUAUGGGUUGUAAACUUCUUUUAUAUGGGAAUCAAAUGCACCAUGUAUAGUGUUUUGCAUGUACCAUAUGAAUAAGGAUCGGCUAACUCCGUGCCAGCAGCCGCGGUAAUACGGAGGAUCCGAGCGUUAUCCGGAUUUAUUGGGUUUAAAGGGAGCGUAGGGGGGUUGUUAAGUCAGUUGUGAAAGUUUGCGGCUCAACCGUAACAUUGCAGUUGAAACUGGCAUCCUUGAGUACAGUAGAGGUAGGCGGAAUUCGUGGUGUAGCGGUGAAAUGCUUAGAUAUCACGAAGAACUCCGAUUGCGAAGGCAGCCUGCUGGACUGCAACUGACGCUGAGGCUCGAAAGUGUGGGUAUCGAACAGGAUUAGAUACCCGGGUAGUC